AGGGUUGUGGCUCAGUGGUAGAGCACUUGCCUAGCAUGUGUGAGGCACUGGGUUCAAUCCCCAGCACCACAU
rnacentral:tRNA from 1 species